ensembl:lncRNA novel transcript
AAUUCGUACCCAGCUGCGUUCGUGCUGAGUUCUUCAUGACCCACUCCUUCCAGCGUCAGCUGGUGGAUCCAGGGCUGGGUACUGAGCCGUACUGGACCAGUGGGCCCCCUCCCGGGAUCGCUGGACUUGGAGCAGAAGAGUCCCUCCAGGGCUGAAGAUUGGACACAGAAAACUUGGGAACUGUCAACUGCCCUGUUAUUCACCUCGUGAAAAAAGCUGGAUUUCUAAUGAGAGCGAAUGGAGGUGACAAUUCCCAGAAACUGGAAUUGGGAUGGUGAGAUUUUAGUUCAGCCGCCGGCGGUCUCAUGCGUGGAGGUGAUAAAGUUGAGCUUUGAGGUGGUCUUCAGAGGGAGAGGAAUACCCUCUGCGGGCAGAGCUUCCUGGGUUCCGGGCCCUUCCGGACGUCAACACAGGUCCAAAUGCCCUUGGGCUCCUCCGCACACCCUGGGUGCAAGAAUAAAUCCUUCUCUCUGCCGCCA